CUAUAUGAGUAAAUACAUGUGGAAUAAAAAAAUAAGUCAUGCUAUUUCAUUCACAGGAACAUGCUGUUGGGAAUCAAAACAUAUGAGAGCAUAAGCUUUAGUGAAGGUUUCUUUAAAUAUUAAGUAAAAGGAAAUGAAAGUAACAAAAGUCCAGACAAAAGAGUAUUGUGCUCCACGAAGUCUACACUUGAAUUUUAUGUGUGAUAGCAGUUUUCUUUCAGAUCUUUCUGAAAAGUUUUUCCUUUGCCAAUAUUUUCCUCCAAAAGAGCUGAACUGUUUCACUGUCGGUCAGAUGUCAUAUACACACACCGGGGAUCCAGAGAACUGUAGGUCUUCCUUAUCAUCUUGGUCACAUCAAAAAUGUCUCUAACCACUUCUCACCCUUCUGUAAUAAAUAACUAACAGAACUUACUUGCCUUCUGAACAGGCUUCCUGAGCGGGAAACACUGAGAUACAACACUGACAAGUGGCAUCAGCAGAAACACAGACAGAUGACAGAAGCUGCAUCCUGUAGUCUGAGGGGAAUGAAGACUGCAAGGCCUUGGGACGAUUGGUGAAAGACUCUGGGGUGCAAGCUAUUUUCUCUUCCCUCCUUCCAUUUUCAGCAGAUUCUGAGUAAGGUCCACUUGUACCAAACAAAAUCUCAAGGACUGGAAGAUAUUCAGACUCUGCAAGCAAGGAAUGAAUACUUGAUUUAGUUUUAAACAGUUUCCAGAUCUAGAUGAGCUAUAAAACUGUUUUGAAAAAUGACACCCAAACACAAAACGCAUCAGCUUUAGAUUUGGUGACAGGGCACUGAAUACAUGACUAUAAAAUAUCAUAACUUUGAAGGUCACGCUGUCACCGUCUGCGAAGUGGAAUCUCUUCAAGGCUAUUCUGAAAACUAGUACCUGAGAGUGCACAAGAGAAGAACACCUGAUGGUUGUGCUCUGCAUCAGAGCUUUUCCAAUAUAAGUAUAGUGAACUUGAAGAAUUCAAAAACAUAAUAUGCUGCCAAUGACCACUAUUAACCCGAAGGAAAGAGCUCAUCACCUAGGUAAUGGCUUAAAAACACCAAGUCCAAAAAACAAAUACUGAACACUUCCCACAUUUCAUUUUUUUUUUUUUGGUGAAAUGCUAUACACUUCUGGAGAGAAAAUAAAGGGAUGUAAUGUAAAAAUAUGAAGUUUAAUUUUUUUACAAUUGAAAGAACUUUAUUAAAUUUCUGAAAAUAAAAAUGCAAGCAGUUAACACACAUAGUUUGUGUUAACAGUCAUUUAAUACUCAUUUUACAGCCAAGUACCUAUUUCUAAAUUAGUCCCUUGCUUGUAUAGGUAAUAUAUUCCGAAGGAUCAUAUUUCUGAUUCAUAAUUUUGUGUGUUUCUCUUAGUAUAAAUAUACAUAUCAUAUCUGUACCGUGUCCAUAAUUACUUUUUCUAACUGUACCUAUUCCUACUGUCCAGCCCCUAAGUACAUUUAGAUCUCUCCAGAUCUUAUCAACCUUAACACUGCAAAUACAGGGCUGAUUCAAAGCUAAAAAGAUCCUAUUUCAUUGUUUUGAGGUUUCACUAUGCUUCAGAUCCAUGGGAGUCUGUGAUAAUGAUGCUGCCAUAACAAGUUAAGACUGUGCCUCAUGUUAUCAAGCAGAACUAAACAGUCCAUCAAAGAGAGAUCCCACACAAAGAUGCCCCAAAUCUGAGUGUGUGAGAGAUUUUUUGUAAAGUUACUACAGACUACAAACUGGAAAAGAUUUUUCAUAAACAUAAGGUGCAGUGAAAUCAAUUCAUAGUAGAAGUCGAAAUUCACAGUAAUUAACUAAGCUAGCCUAACCAAAGAUGACCAUAUUCUAUUACACUGUAAGAUUUGCUGAGAGAAGGGAAGGCAGGACCUAAGCACACAGCAAAGCUGUGGAAGUGUUUUCCUUUGUGGCCUCACUACCUCUCCUCAGCAGACACAGAAUCCUAGCAGAACUCUGCACAAGCAUGAUCCAGCUCUCCUUGGUUUAUAAAGAAAUUUAUUCCUAACAAAGAUAGCAACAGAUAGGAAACUGUAGGUUCUCGGGAUACUCCAUUGCCAGCAUGAGAAGGACGGCAAACUAGGUCUUUGAUUCUCUGACUCUAGGAAAUUGAAAUGAUCUUGGGUCUGACACCAGGACAAAAAUAUUGCAGCCCAGAUGCAAGAAAAAAGCUGAAGAAAGGCAAGAGACCACAGCCACCCCUCAGAGAUUAAAAAGAUUUGUUUACAUUACAGUACAUUAACAUAGUCUUCUACUUUUAACCCAGAAGCCAUGCUUACACAAUUCAAGAAAGGCUCUUCUUCAAGACAAGACUACAAAAGAAUUGUCCACAUUUAAAUACUUAAAUACUUGUUUGUUUCAAUUCUCAUAUUUGUAGAACACUGUUUUCCAUUGACUCCUAAUGUGACAGAAUUAUAGCACUCUAGUCCUAUAGCACAUGCUUAGCAACCUCUCUAGACCAUGUAGGAAUCUCUUUGUUUUACUGAAAAUGUUUUGCUCUCAGUUUCAGAGAUGAAUUUUCUUUCAGUCAGUUUAAUGAGUUGGCUAUAAGCUCAGAUUUGUGUUGCAUUCGUUGUUCAAAUGCACACAUUUUGGAUGGAACGUGUGAGGCUUCUAGAUAAUAGACUUCUAUCUUGGAACAUCAAGUGAGAGAAUUUUCUUAUGACUUCAAAAUCAGUCUUCUAAAUGUGAAGAGAGCUCUUUUUAAUAUGCUUAGAAUUAACUACAACUGCCACCAAUAAAAAUUAUUGUUGCAACACAGUUUAUGUGCCAGGAAUUGCAUCCCCAUGGAUGAGCAAUGUCAGUACAAGAAUACAAUGUGGGUGAUAAUAAGCAACAAGGAAAGGCAGCUUUGGCAUCAUAAAACAAAGAGAAUACAAUCCUAGUUCCAAUGGCUAUGAGAUCACAAGUGUCCAAUUUACAGUAAAAGAAUGCGGAAGAGAAUAAAUCACUUCUGUUACUAAAAACUGGGUAACUGGAUUAAUAGAUACUAGAAUAGGAUGUAGAAUUACUAGAAUGUAAAUGAACAAAUGGCCCUGUGAUGGCAGCAGAACUUAAUAGCAAUGGUGGAAUUUCUCACUGAUAUGCUAUAAAAUACAGACAGAUAGAUCAAUAAUAAAGAGACAGAAAGCGAAAAAGCACACAAUGAACAUGCCUUUCUAAUGGGAAAUUCUUUCCAAUGCACACAUUUUUUAUUAUUGCUGACUUUUCUGAAUACACACUUGUCAUGGAGUUACCUAGAUAGAUC